rnacentral:lncRNA from 1 species
UAUCUCUGAAUAAGAAUGAAAUUUUGAAAUUUUGCCUCUUCUCAAAAUUUAUAUUUAUUUAUAUAUAAACAUCCCCUUCACCCCACCACACACACAGAGAAUAAUUUAAGUGAAGCUGAUGUAUAUUAAGGUGGCAAAUCUGUAAUACUCUCAUUGCAGGUAUAAAAAAAUCUUUUACAUGGAAUUUGGACCUCAGUCUUAAAGUUCUAAACACAUUGCCCUAGGCAGCUAUUACCAAUUAACUGAAGUGGGCAUUCAAGUCAAAACCUUCAUCAUAGCAUUUAGUUCAUAAAAUAGAACCUGCUUUAAAUACAUUCAGCUAAAUGGGAUGUAAUGCAGUGAGUUAGAUGCUCACAGAAUUGCUGGAAGACCAAAGAAGCUGACUUGAGGCCUAACCUCCAGGGCUGACUCCCAGAACAGUACAGAACUGAGUCCUCAGUUACUCUGCUGCUAUUAGAAAUGGAAGGAAUCAGUAAACUUCAAAUGAAAUUCUGUAGUUCCAGAACACACUGCUAUAGCUGCAACCCAAGGGUCAGAAACCUGGGAUCUGAAGGCACCAACACCACCCAGGAAGCUGUUGGCAAGAUGGGGAACAGAGAAUAUGACAGCUCCCCCUACUGACGUAGCUGCCCUUUGAUACCCAGGAGGCUGGGGACUGGAUUCUGGACACAAAGCAGAAAAACCUCAUGCUACCACGGCCUUUCUUGCCAUCUUUUAGAUAUGAGUAACUUAAUUUGGGGAAGUGUAGUUUGUGUGCAGAAUCCUCACUUCAAGAAAGCUCGAGAGAUGUAGUUUUCAGUCUCGGAAGGCAUGUGACAUCAGAACGUAUACAGAAGGUACAUCCUUGUUGAAACCUAUUUGUUCUCUCUCUCCUUAUUGGAGCCUCAUUGUAAGGAGAUAUAGAACUUGUAUAGAGAAUAACAGGAAAGUUUGAGUAACUGGCUUUUCUUAGCAGAUAUGCCAAAACUAAGGGGAUUUGAUCCCUUCUACUUAGAGGAUACAGAUAGUGACAAUUUUAGCUUUUUAUAUUUAAUUUCUCCUUUCUUCUCAUCAAGUCAUUUUGCUCAAGAACUUAAUUCUAAAAUUAAGCAACUUGAUGCCUUUGAAUUACUUAGAUCUUUGUAUCUGCUGCUCCUGUUUUUUUCCUCUCGCAAAAAGAGAGGGUACUUCCUAUCUUUGUUUAUUACCAGAAUUGAUUAGGGACUAACUAGCUCUGUAGUAUAGUAACAGCUUACUAAUGUUCAAUUAAGGCCACUUAAUAUAGAGCAAAAAUAAAAUGCAAAAUAGGGAAAUAUAUAUGAAUAUAUUACCCAAAUAUAUAUUUGGCAUAGAAUGUGCUCUUAAUCUAAAGUUGUCAGCAACAUCCAUACUCUCCUAAGAAAAAAUUUGAUUCAGUAGGAAGCAAAAGAGUACAAGCACAGCAUUGAAAAUAUUUUGACUCUGUCAUCCAUCCAUUAUGGCCAGAUGGGUAAAAUGGCUAACUUUUCUCAAGUACCCAAGACCUUGAUUCUCAAGGCAUUCCUGUAAGCAUAUGUGAUAGGAUCACCAUGGUUACACAACGUGUUUCAGUCAUGGUAUAGAGUAGAACUCAAACCCAGGCCUUUGAACUCUCAGUAAAAUUGUUUUCUGCUACACUAAGGAAGAUCACUAUUUUUCUUCUUAGGGGUGUGUUGGUAUACUUUGUAAACAAGUAUUUAAUUUAAUACACCUAGAAAAGAGGAAAUGGCUGAAAACAAAUACCCAUGAGCAUACUUUUACUUUUGCAAUUUUACAUAACUGGCAGAGGGAUAGUUAUAUGACUUGCAUCGUUGGAAUAUGAGUUUUUAAUCUAUUUUAAAGUAUAAUGUCCAUUUAGACACUACAGUUUAAUGGCCAUUUUAUUUUUUUUAAUGUUUAACAAAAUUUUUAUACUUUUCUUGGUCUUUUUUUGGGGGCCACAUCCAUGGCGUAUGGAAGUUCCCAGGCUAGGGGUCUAAUGGGAGCUAUAGCUGCCAGCUUAUGCCAUAGCCACAGCAACACCAGAUCUGAGUUGUGUCUGCAACCUACACCACAGUUCAGGGCCAUAUGGGAUCUUUAGCCCGCUGAGCGAGGCUGGGGAUAGAAACUGUGUUCUCAUGAAUACUAAUUGGAUUUGUUACUGCUGAGCCAUGAUGGGAACUCCUAAUAGCUACUUUAGAGCAACUAUUCAUUCCUAUAGGAAAUAUCUCUUUUAUAGGAAAAAUGUAUAAGGAACAUGGCCAUGGAGUUAUUUUUUUUAACCAGAGUCUCAUUGUAGUAGGCUCACCCACUUGUUUGUGUCCCUAUGCAACUAUUCCUUUCAAGGCUGCUCUAAAUAGCUCUCUCCAGUCCUGUCUUCUUUCUUUGGUAUCACCCUGUAAAGCUUCUUUUCACUUGCUACAUCUUACAGGACCCAACUGCAUUUUAAUAAGUUCUAUGUCUAGUCACACUUACCUCGUACUUGGUCAUAGGGCAAGCACAUUAUCACACAGCUUAUCAUUCCAAUAUUCUUUUAAAGUGACUUCCUUCUGAAGGCAGGUGGGUGUGAAGGGAGGCUCCUCAGUCCUAAACUAUUUGAUGUGAGAAUGAAAUACAUCUUCUUUAGGUUAUUAGGUCCCAUGAAAAAAGAUACAGUUUUUAAGCAUAGGAGAGUUAAAAAACACAAUGGAGACAACCCAAACGAUUUUCACAAAGCAGGGCUAGCUUUGAAUAUAAAAGGUAAAUCACAUAACUGAAAAAACUAUCAGAAAUAUUUCUAUGUUUACAUGUUAUUUGUUUAAGUUCUUAAACUAUCUCUACUCUGUUACUCCCUCUUUCUUUGUCAGGAAACUCCACAAAGAAAGUCACUCAAAUAAGUUAACUUAGAAAAAUUUCCUUGCUUUCAUUUUUUUUUUUUUUUUCCUUUAUGGUAAACAUAGCUUGCUUACAAGUGCUCUCUCUUUAAAAAAGUGUCUAGAAAGAAAGAAGUAGGAUGACUAGCUUUAGGUCAGAAGUCAUUUGCAUCCAAGAAUCGAGUAAGUGCCUGAUAGUUAGUAGGAAUGAGAUUCUGGGAGAUGUGAUAAAUGGACCAAGGAGUGCUCUCAGGUGACAGUUCCUGACGGGUUAUAAGAACACAUCAUGUCCUAGUUUUUGGUCUCUGCUAAUAAUCUAUUGUGAUGUACAGCAGGUUCUGAUAUACAGAGUAAUUCAAGUGCUCUUCUGUUGGGCAUAUGGUGCUUUUAAGAACACUCCAAGGGUUGAUUUGACUGCUCCUGUUGAUAAAGGAUGGCACAGUGGGAAGAAGGGAACAAGCUAUGGAUGGUGCGUGGGAUUCAGAGGAGGAAGGGAUUCGUAUGAGAGCAGAGCUGCUAAGGAAAACAACAUGAAGUGACUUAAUUAGAAAACCAGUUUUGCCAUUAUUUAAGUUGAGUUCCUGCAAGUGUCACUGUUUCUUAUGGUAAAAUCUAAUGAUACAUAAAUAUAUGCAUAUAUAUGUGCAUAAAAUAUGUAUAUUAUGUACAUGUGUAUUUUAUGUAUUUAAAUAUGUAUGCACAUAUACAUAUGCAUAUAAUAAAUAGCAAACUCAUGUGAAGUAGCAAAAGGACAGGAUUUAACCCCAGCUGUUGAACUGGGAGUCGGGGGGAAAUAGGAACAAAAAGAAAUAAUUCUAGAGGAAACUUUUUGAGUAACAGAGAAAAAUUUUCCAGGAAACAUGGCUUGGCACUCCUUUUUUUCCCUUUUAAAGACAGGGAAAAUAAUACAUUUUUCUCAUAGUAUCACCAACAGAUCCCAUUCAUUGGCAAAAGGAGUAAUUUUUGUAUAUAAAGUUAACAGGGUAAGUUUACACUUGAAGAGUGUCCCCCCAGAAUUUUCUGUUAUAGGAUUUGUGUAAUAUCAAGCAGAAUCAGAAAUGGUUAGAACAGUAGGAAUAUGGCAGACCAAAUCUGUGCAGUUGUAGAUAUCCCUAAUGCCAAAUUUGAGUGAUUUCAGGCAUAGAGCUUGAGAACACUGCAGUGAGGCAGUCAGCCCUGAUGCAAAAACUGACCCAGAACCAACCAGGAUGGAACAGAGGGAGAGGACUCAGGACCUCAUAGGACUAAGGUGUCAAAAUGAAUAUGCUUAGAGCAGGGCCAUGGUAGAUAUUAACUAGCCAUUCGCACCCAAUGUUUUUUAAAAAACAUGGCUGUCCAACAUAUGGUCUGUGAACCAAAUUAAUCCUGUCUGACAUUAGAUUGCAAUUCACCUGUGAUUUUGAAGAAAAAAUAUUUCCCCCAAUUAUCUAAUUUUUCCAUCCUAACCAGCUGACAAGCUUAGCUCUUAAGCUGACUGCUGCUGGGUUUUACACAGAAGGCUAAGAUCAGUAGUUGAAAUUGAAGCCAAAGUCAUUAGUUACAUACUUGUGGGUUGUUCAGUUUUAAAUCUGUACUAUCAUGUUGUAAAAUUUAGAUAUUUUAGAUGAUUGUGGAAUAAAGCAAAUUUAGCAGAAAUAAGAGACCACGCAUGCUUGAGUUGAGAUCUCUAUUCAGUAGACUCACUAUUACUAGCUAAAUAAGUGAGUAAAUAAGUAAAUGAUGUCUACUGUUGAAGACAUGAGUGUGCUCCUAGAUUAGAAGCAGAGAAGAAAGAAAAGGGGAGAUAAACUUAAAUGUCCCUUUUAUGCCAGGAAUGGCUCUAGGAGUUUUUUAUUUCUUUCUUCUUAUAAUGCCCCCCAAAAGCCCAUGAUACAGCUCUCCACCUUGCAGACAAGGAAUAUAAGGCAUAGAGAGCUUACUUAUCUUGACCAAAGUUCUACAGUUUGAUGAGGAGCAUAGCCAACUCUUCAAACCCAUGAUUCUCAAGUCUGUAUUCUUAAUUAUGCCUAUAUAUUAUUUAUAUUUUGUUACAUGUGUAUUAUGGAUAUAUUAGUUGUUUCUUAAACCUUAGGUAGUUUAAUUAAUUAAUGUAAAUCCUAGUCUUCUAAACUAUAAUUAUAAAGCAACAUAAAAUGUUAAUGAGAUCAUCAAUAACUUUAUUUAUUUAGUUUUUUUUUAAGGGCUGCACCUGUAGCAUAUGGCAGUUUUCAGGCUAGGGGUCGAAUCAGAGCUAUAGCUGCUGGCCUGCACCAUGGCCACAGCAACAAGGGAUUCGAGUUUCAUCUGCGACCUAUACCACAGCUUGUGGCAAUGCCAGAUCCUUUACCUACUAAGCGAGGCCAGGGAUUGAACCCAUGUCCUCAUGGAUACUAGUUGGGCUCGUUACCACUGAGCCAUGAUGGGAAUGCCUAUCAAUAAUUUAAAAAUAUAUUAUUACAUGUAAUUUUAACAGUAUUCAAUGAAGGAAUAUUUUUGUUCUCUAGAAAAUUAUAAGUUGAAAGAAUUCAACUAAGUUAUUAAGAUGAUUACCUCAGGGAGUUCCCACUGUGGCUCAGUGGAUUAAGAACCCGACAUAGUGUCUGUUAGGAUACAGGUUUGAUCUCUGGCCUCACUCAGUGGGUUAAGGAUCCAGCAUUGCAGCAACCUUCAGUGUAGGUAUAGAUGCAGCUUGGAUCUGGCAUGGCUAUGACUGUGGCAUAGGCUGGCAGCUGCAGCUCCAAUUCAACCCCUAGCC